rnacentral:sRNA from 1 species
GGUGAUGAUGGCGAUACCUUGCAGGAUCCCCCAGGGAGAAGUGCAGACAAUACAAUAAUUAUCGCGGGUCCCUCUUAGCCACUGCGAAUAUGACUGGGCGAACGAGGCCAAUUGAGAAGUUUGCCAAAGCUACCGCCCAGUGCUCUGCUCAGGCCUCCGCGUACGGCAAAUGUGUCUUCGCUGAUUAUAAUGCGAUCCGAAAGGAUAGGUGCGCAAAGGAGUUUAUGAAGCUAAAGGAAUGCUAUCUGGCAGCGGCUAAGAAGCCAUGAUAACGGGCAACUGGUUUGUAAGAUGGAAUGGCAUACCGUUACUUUAAUAUGAAAGAACUCGCAGAAAUAUGGCAAUAUGGUAUCCCGGUUUAUUCUGGUUUACAUGUAGAAUAGCGGAAUCAAUUAGUUUUAGUAGGGAAAAAAAUCAUCCAUAUCUACGCAGUAGCAAGCACCCUGACGACCCUUUCAACUUCACAAUAACCUGAUAAACCACAGAAUCCAGCUUUCAUGAUGAAAACCCCCUUAGUCUUCUUUUUGCUUCAAAUAUUUCUAACUACAACUUCACCAGCCGAAGCAAGAAGGUCGCUUUUUGUACCUCCUGCUCUUCUUCUAAAAUGAUCCCCUCUUCCUCGCCUUCGGGUGCCCUCCCUUCGACCUCUGUGACUAUAUGUUGGUCGAUCGGUCUACGCAGCGCUUUUUCAAUCGCCUUCGACUGCGUCUGGAAAACGCGCUCGAUGCCGACAUUGUCAGGGUCAGAGAGAACCCGAUACUCCAUCCCCACGUCGUCAGUUGGAACCAACCCCGCCUUUUUUCGCAGCCGCUGGACUCGGUUCACGAUUUCCCUUGCUAGCCCUUCCUCAGCUAACUCAGGAUAUAAAACUGCGUCCAGGAUGAUAAGUACAUCAUCAUCCGUAUUCGUUUCAAAGUCCUUGGAAGAUGCGUCGUCUUUCAAGCCGCGCCUGAUUACCAGAUCCCCGUCGACAAGCUCAAUGCCAUCAACCACCAUCUUCUUGUCAGUGACGAAUCGCUUAACAUCGUUACUUGAGAGCGAUGGUAGCGCUUUCUUAACCCUUUGAGCAUCUUUCUUCAAUUUCUUGCCUAGAGUGGGCCAAUCUGCUGUGACACUGUACUGGACAUUGUACUUAUCCUCAUCGGAUGAGAGAACCAGAUCCCGGAUAUUAAGCUCUUCCAGAAUGUAGCCCUCUAGGGAUCUCACAUCAUCGAGAUAUUGUUUUUCCUGGUGGAUCACAACGAGCGUCUUCAGGGGUGAUUUGAGGCCAAUGCUUCUGCGUUCACGUGCAAUGCGACCAAGCUCAAUCACCUUCUGCAUCCGACCGACCUGUCUCUCAAUGACAUCAUCAAAAAGUUCUUCACGAACCUCAGGGAAAGCGAGGAAAUGGACGCUGCGGCUAUCCUCGGCUUGAAGGGAUUUUGGUAUAUGAGGAAGG